rnacentral:rRNA from 1 species
GAUGAACGCUGGCGGCGUGCUUAACACAUGCAAGUCGAACGGUGAAGCAGGAGCUUGCUCCUGUGGAUCAGUGGCGAACGGGUGAGUAACACGUGAGCAAUCUGCCCUGGACUCUGGGAUAAGCGUUGGAAACGACGUCUAAUACCGGAUACGAGGCGUGGGGGCAUCCCCAACGCCUGGAAAGAACUUCGGUCCAGGAUGAGCUCGCGGCCUAUCAGGUAGUUGGUGAGGUAACGGCUCACCAAGCCUACGACGGGUAGCCGGCCUGAGAGGGUGACCGGCCACACUGGGACUGAGACACGGCCCAGACUCCUACGGGAGGCAGCAGUGGGGAAUAUUGCACAAUGGGCGCAAGCCUGAUGCAGCAACGCCGCGUGAGGGACGACGGCCUUCGGGUUGUAAACCUCUUUUAGCAGGGAAGAAGCGAAAGUGACGGUACCUGCAGAAAAAGCACCGGCUAACUACGUGCCAGCCGCCGCGGUAA